UAUGCCUCACGUUCAUCCAUACAGAGUGCUAAUGUUCACACUGACAGAAACUUGGGGAUCGAGAACAUCUGAUGGGGUAUCGAACCACAAGCCCGCCUCUCUAACGUCCAAACCAUCACCUCCCCAAAACAAAUAUUUGACUCUGACCACUUCAGCCAGUAAUGUGGACGUAGCUUCACUUGUGCAACUGCUUACCAAAUCACUGCAAAUAUUCCCCAAACUGUGAAAACAGAUUUGCUUUAUCAGAUGGGUGUG